GGGGAUAUAGUAUAAAUGGUAGUAUAUAGGUAUUGCAAACCUAAGGAAAGAGUUCAAUUCUCUUUAUCUCCA
rnacentral:tRNA from 1 species